CCUUCGGGAGGCAGCAGUGGGGAAUAUUGCACAAUGGUCGAAAGCCUGAUGCAGCAACGCCGCGUGAACGAUGAAGGCCUUCUGGUCGUAAAGCUCUGUCCUCGAGGAAGAUAAUUACGGUACUUGAGGUGUAAGCCCCGGCUAACUACGUGCCAGCAGCCGCAGUAAUACGUAGGGAGCUAGCGUUAUCCGGAAUUACUGGGCGUUAAGGGUGCGUAGGUGGUUUCUUAAGUCAGAGGUGAAAGGCUACGGCUCAACCGUAGUAAGCCGUUGAAACUGGGAACCUUGAGUGCAGGAGAGGUGUGUGGAAUUCGUGGUGUAGCGGUGAAAUGCGUAGAUAUCAGGAGGAACACCGGUUGCGAAGGCAGCUUUCUGGACUGUAACUGACACUGAGGCACGAAAGCGUGGGGAGCAAACAGGAUUAGAUACCCCAGUAGUC
rnacentral:rRNA from 1 species